GUAAUAAACUUGGGGCACAUUCGAUAAAAUUGGAACGAUAGAGAAAUGAUUAGCAUGGCCCCGUGCAAGGAUGACGUACACAAAUCAAAAAAUUGCAUCAAAGCCAA